rnacentral:SRP_RNA from 1 species
GGCCAGGCCCCAUGCAACGGAUGGGAGAUGAACCUGGUCAGGGCGAAAGCAGCAGCCAUAAGUCUUUUCGUCCAUGUGCCGUGGGUCACCUGGCCCUG